GGGAGGGGGAGUCUGGGGGCAGCUGCCCAUUCCUGCCGGUGGUUAUCUCUAUGAUGCCCUAACCACAGUCUUGCAAGGCAGGACCAUAUCCCCAUCUGAUGAGGCCACCGUCCACACCAACCUUGAGUCACCUUGUCUGCAAUGGUGGUGACAGUUUCUGAGACCUUUUUCUAUAGCUAUAUCCAUUUCUUGAGAUUUUGAAGUGUUUUUAUAAACCCCAUUCUCUGGGAAUAUUUUUAAUUUUUCUGUGCAGCUGGGAGGAUUCUUAGAGAAGAAAAGUGCUGAUUUAAGAGAAACUGCAUUAUUUGUGAAAUACAAAAUUCAUCUUGUGGGUGUAAGAGAUGCCUUCGUGGACGGAUGAAGCUCCUGGUACUAAGUAGCAGGAGUGCAGUGAAGCUGCUGUGUUCUCCAGCUCGUAGUUAAGGGCCAGUCAGGAUCAGACAUCUUGCCCUGAUGGAAAAGAAGAUGAACAGAUACCUCCUGACCUGGAUAGCAAUUAAUUCUGGGGACCUAGAUCCCCAAGGACUUUAGGAUGAGGCAGCAGUUUGGAUUUAGGAUCAACAUGGUAUUUAAAAUAUAAAAGCAUUGUAGUGUUGGGGAAGCAUCAUUUAAAAGAACUUGUGGGGUCCCUGUCAGGCCCCUCUUGAGACAGGCCAGCCCCACAGAAGAGAAGGCCUAGGGCUGGCUCCCUAGGGUUGUGAGAAACUCCAGAACAGUGUUGACUUCUUUCUUCCCCUAGGGUCACACCAGCAUGUAGCAUGAUGCCUUGCACACAGUAGGUGCUCAGUAAACACUUUUGGACCACUGAAUGCAAUGACCAAUGGAUAAAAACAUUGUUCUUCCCUUGACCAGAUAAGACCCGCUUCCCUGGGCGUCCACAGGCC
rnacentral:lncRNA from 10 species